UUAUAGCACGGAUGCCCGCGUGAGGGAUAGCAGCGGAUACCCCGCUGAAGCCUUUGUGUGGUGGGUAUUGUGGCGGAGUAGCAGCGAAUAGCCCGACCCCGG
rnacentral:misc_RNA from 1 species